rnacentral:lncRNA from 1 species
AAUUCAUUGCAAGUUUGGAAAAUCUGUUGCAGAACUUCAGAUAGUUCAGCUGAUUUCCAUUGAAACACUCGGACCAUGUAGCCUGUUGCCGUUGUCAAACUCUUGUAUGGUAAACGCUUAUCAUCCUCUGCCACACCAUUAUCUUGAGGUAAUAUAUUUAUCCCUUCAAGUAGCUCAAGAAUCUUGCUUAUCUGUAUGCUCACAUUACUCUCCAAUUUCUGAUCAGUCUCAUUCGCAGUUGAGAUGUCAUUUGCAAUUCCUGUAUCUGAUGCUUCUUCUAGGUUGAAAGAUUUAUUUGAGGCUUGCCUGCUUACUUUUGGGGAAUGUGUUGUUGCAUCAAGAUGGCUUCGACUGCAUUUUUUGUUAAAAUACAUAGAGUCCGAGCUAUUAUGCUUCAAAGCAGCCUUCAUAUCCUCCAAUACUUCACGAGGGCUUAUUUUCAAUGCUUUGCAGUACUCUAAAAGCAUCUUCAGCAAGUCAUCCAGCCGCUUGGGAAAUCUGUCGGCUGAAGUGGUUUCAGACUGAAUAUCCUGGUCUGAAGCCAAAGCUUCUGAUCCAUUGCUAUUAACUGGAACCAUCUCACUAGCGACUAUUGGCAACA